UACGAAGGGGGCUAGCGUUGCUCGGAAUCACUGGGCGUAAAGGGUGCGUAGGCGGGUCUUUAAGUCAGAGGUGAAAUCCUGGAGCUCAACUCCAGAACUGCCUUUGAUACUGAGGGUCUUGAGUAUGACAGAGGUGAGUGGAACUGCGAGUGUAGAGGUGAAAUUCGUAGAUAUUCGCAAGAACACCAGUGGCGAAGGCGGCUCACUGGGUCAUUACUGACGCUGAGGCACGAAAGCGUGGGGAGCAAACAGG
rnacentral:rRNA from 1 species